UUCCCCUCCCCUACAUAUGAGGUAAUGAGCAAGGUAAAAGGAUGAUCUCAAAUUCAUUUGAUAUCCUUCAUGCAUCAUUGUAGCUCAAUGCCUCUCUAGGAAUGCAUGAUCUUAUCUUUACAAUUGGUAUUUACAUUUGGUAUCUUUUAUGCCUUCCUAGAAAUAUCAUAUGGUAGGUACAAAAACUUUCAUUGCUCAUAUGGUUCAAACCUCACACAAGCCAUUGUUCCACAAUUCUUUCUACAUUUAGUAUCAAGGGCUUUUUUU